GAUGAACGCUGGCGGCGUGCCUAAUACGUGCAAGUCGAGCGAACAGAUAAGGAGCUUGCUCCUUUGACGUUAGCGGCGGACGGGUGAGUAACACGUGGGUAACCUACCUAUAAGACUGGGAUAACUUCGGGAAACCGGAGCUAAUACCGGAUAAUAUUUCGAACCGCAUGGUUCGAUAGUGAAAGAUGGUUUUGCUAUCACUUAUAGAUGGACCCGCGCCGUAUUAGCUAGUUGGUAAGUUAACGGCUUACCAAGGCGACGAUACGUAGCCGACCUGAGAGGGGGAAGCGCCACACAGGAGCUGAGCCGCGACACAGGCACCGACGGGAGGCAGAAGCUGGUACUGUACGGAGAAGGGCGAAAGCCUGAAGGAGGGACGCAGCGUGGAUGCAGCAGGGCUUCGGGUCGUAAACUGUCUUAUUAGGGAAGAACAUACGUGUAAGUAACUGUGCACGUCUUGACGGUAACUAAUCAGAAAGCAACGGCUAACUACGUG
rnacentral:rRNA from 1 species